rnacentral:rRNA from 1 species
UACGUAGGGUGCAAGCGUUGUCCGGAAUUAUUGGGCGUAAAGAGCUCGUAGGCGGCUUGUCACGUCGGCUGUGAAAACCUGGGGCUCAACCCCGGGCCUGCAGCCGAUACGGGCAAGCUAGAAUUCGGUAGGGGAGACUGGAAUUCCUGGUGUAGCGGUGAAAUGCGCAGAUAUCAGGAGGAACACCGGUGGCGAAGGCGGGUCUCUGGACAGUUCCUGACACUGAGGCACGAAGGCCAGGGGAGCAAACGGG